UACGAAGGGGGCUAGCGUUGCUCGGAAUCACUGGGCGUAAAGCGCACGUAGGCGGAUUGCUAAGUCAGGGGUGAAAUCCUGGAGCUCAACUCCAGAACUGCCUUUGAUACUGGCGGUCUCGAGUCCGGGAGAGGUGAGUGGAACUGCGAGUGUAGAGGUGAAAUUCGUAGAUAUUCGGAGGAACACCAGUGGCGAAGGCGGCUCACUGGUCCAUUACUGACGCUGAGGUGCGAAAGCGUGGGGAGCAAACAGG
rnacentral:rRNA from 1 species